UCUUGUGUCUCUUCUUAUAAGGGCAAAAAUGCAGACUCCACAGUUUAUGACUCCACCCUCGUGACCUAAUUACCUUCCAAAGCCCUACCUUCAAAUACCAUUGCACUGAAGGAUAGGAUUUCAACAUAUGAAUUUUGGGGAGACAUAAACAUUGAAUCCAUAGUAGAUUAUAAGGUUUGAACAGUUUUUAUACUUUCAGAGGAUUAUUGAAGAAACAGCAGCAGCAGCUUGGAGCAAAGGAGACUGCUCUAAGCCAAAAGCACUUAAUGUCUGUCCUUCACCAAGACAGGUCUGCCAAGCCCUGGACAGCUUUCUCAGAAUGAGAGAAGAAAACAAAGAAAUUUAAAUGACUUAUCUUAUUUCACAGCUAGAGAGUGUAACACAGUUCGAUUUGAAGCUGAAUUUUGACAAGUAACUAAAACAGGAAACACAGAAAGGAUCAUGUCUCCUGUGACUGCUCUGCUGGUCCUUCUGCUCUGAUGAGCAGUUUUGAGCAAAAGGAUUAAAGAAUUCAAGAAAGGAGGGAAAAGCCCUCAAAAACUGACA